UGACAUCUAGUCAUAUUUGACUCGAAAAUACUAACCAGGCUUCUUCUCGCUUCUCAAAGCUUUGAUAGUGAAGCUGAAGUCCGUAUGAGUCUUUGGCUUUGUAUCUUCUAACAAGGAAACUC
rnacentral:sRNA from 1 species